rnacentral:lncRNA from 1 species
CUCAGAGAAGGGCCGUUUACUUUCAGUAGGCUCCCCAGGGCAGGAGCAAUUCUCUUCCCAACAGCUGGGAUGGCUUGGUAAGCAAGAUCUGAUUCAGGUUCCCAAGGUCUCUCAUUCCUCUUCCCAAAUCCCUGAACCCUUUUAAUCUGAACUGUGGUUCAUCAAAUGUGUACCAGCAAAAAAGUAUUUCCUAGGAACUUGUUACAAAUGCAUAUUAUCAGGCGGGGCCCCCAAAUCGUUGUUUUGACAAGCCUUCUGAUCUCCUGAUUUGCGCAAAAGCUUGAAACCCAUUGCUCUCCUUCUGGUCUCAGAGACAGAGAGACAGAAAGAGAAGGUAGGGAGGGGCAGAGAAUGCUCAGGAAAUUGUGCUGGAAAGUGAAUCCAAAUAGCUUUUUAUAUUGGGUUUUUACGUGGUAAUUUACAAAUGAUUGUAAACAACCACAAAUUGAAACACACAGUUACUUUAAGGUCUCUUUAGCAGAAAUCAAUCUUGUAUGGUGGCAGUUCUCCUAUACUUUGGUCUAUUACUUGAUAGGUCAUUUCCUCACAGGGAUGACUAACAGCAGUUCAAACGAAAAUGCUCUUUAUAUUUAAACAGCACUUUCUGUUCAAGGAUGUCAAAAUGCUUGACAAGUAGUGAAAUGCAGCUCACUAAUUUUCUCAACCCCAUGGCAGUAAAUAGCAUCUACCAUCAUUGCUGUUUUCUGGUGAUUUCUUGACAGGAAAAGCAAAAGUGACUUGGCUAUGUAUGUCUGUUGAAAGUCAACGGCUGAAGGAGAAAAUAUCAUUCAUUUUUGUUCCCAUAGGGCUAUAGUUGAUGUAGUACUUACUGACUUCUAUUAUUACAUCCCAAGGAUAGAUAACUAUGCUCAUCAAGGGGAAAGCCCAAAGAACAUUCUUGUGCUUUCUUUGUUAAACCUGGUUUUUAAAAAAUCAUCUGGCCUAAUCUACAUUUAAUUAUGAUACAAAUGCUACUUAAAUCCCUGUUACUUUUGUUUGCUUACAGUUGAUGCCGCUUGGGGGCACCUGGGUGGCUCAGUGGGUUGAGUGUCUGACUUCGGCUCAGGUCAUGAUCUCGCCUUUGGCGAGUUCCAGCCCUGUGUGGGGCUCUGUGCUGACAGCUCAGAGCCUGGAGCCUGCUUCAGAUUCUGUGUCUCCCUCUCUCUCUGCCCCUCCGCCACUCAUGCGGUCUCUCUCUGUCUCAAAAAUAAAUAUAAACGCUAAAAAAAUUUUUUAAAAAAGACACAAUUGAUGCCUCUUGAAAAAUAAGAAGCAAAGGCUCAUUACAUUGGAGAAUCCUUGAGAGCCACGUUUUAGUCAUCUUUGACUCCUUUGUGACCAUUGCCAUAUCUGGAAUAGUAUGUAUGUUCAGUAUUUUUGAAUGUAUGGUAUAUAAAUAAACCAAAGUACUUUCAAAGUUAGAGGCCACGUGUCAGAGAGCAGGAGAAAAGGUAGUUAAAAACCUACUAAACUAUCAAAACCUAGUGCUGGGUGAGCGCUGAUAAAAACUUGACCAUGUCCUCUGUCAUUGCAUAUGAUGCUGUGACACUAACAUGUACUCACCAAUCAAAAAAGGUUUCAGAACUCAAAUUUGGGUGUUUUCAAGAUGAGGAUUCCUCUCCUCUACCAUUUCUUAUAAUAAAACUUGGAACCCUAGAAUCAACAGGCAAUAUACUGGUUUAUAACUUAAAAUUGGAACGUUUUCAUCCAAUUUUAGAGGCAUGAGAUAAAACUGAUGCACAAAUAUUAGAAUUUUCAUUAAUGAAAAAAACUAAUUUCCAAAAUUCUUAAGGUUGGUUUCUCAAAAUAUUAAAAUGACCACAUGUCAUGAGCCAAGGGCACCCUAUUUUUAAAAAAUAAGAAACUGCAGGGGCACCUGCCUGGCUCUGAAGGUAGAGAGGGUGACUCUUGAUCUCUGGGUUGUGGGUUUGGGCCCCACAUUGGGUGUGGAGAUUGCUUAAAAAUAAAAUCUUGAAAAGAAAAAGAAGAAAAGAAAGGACUACAAAGUUGUAUAAUUACUGUUAAUUAUUUGUUGACUUUGUAUGAAAAAAAGCUCAUUUUAAAUAAAAGGAAGUCCAACUAGAGUGACAUACAUUAAUCUUAAAAGUUCCUGUAUUAGAUUUUUUUCUAUCCCCAAAAUGCCAACCAUGCAUAUUAAGCUGAAAUUUGUUUUUUGC